UCCACGCAGUAAACGUUGUACACUAGGUGUAGCGGGUAUUGACCCCUGCUGUGCCGGAGCUAACGCAUUAAGUGUACCGCCUGGGGAGUACGAUCGCAAGGUUGAAACUCAAAGGAAUUGACGGGGGCCCGCACAAGCGGUGGAGCAUGUGGUUUAAUUCGAUGAUACGCGAGGAACCUUACCUGGGCUUAAAUGCAGAGUGACAGUCCCCGGAAACGGGGGUCUUCUUCGGA
rnacentral:rRNA from 1 species